CGGAAAGAGGAACUCCUUGGAGGGAGUGUAGUGACCAGCUCUGAGAGAGAACUCAAGCCUGGCACGCGUGCCGUCUCUCGCAUGACUGUCCAGGCCAUACUGCGCCAGUGACUGUCCUGAGAGAGGCCACCUCCUCCCUGGGAAGGAGUCUGCCAGAAUGGGUGCAGGGAGAGAGACCAGGACUGGUACCUAUCCCUUUGCUGCUUGCUAGCAGCCUGCUGGGGCUGGAAAGUUUUCUCACAUCUUUGGGGAAGGGGCCGGUGUUUCUUUGCAAGCGCUCAGCCUCCUUGAGGAGAAGGGACUGUGCGGAGGAUGGACGCUGCAGGGUUGCUACGGGGCUGGGCCUGAGGGAGCUGUUGAGAGGUUUUGGCUCUUCCUGCUCCCCACCUUUUUGCCACAUGCCUUUGGGCCCCGGAGGCUGCUAAGGGAGCUUAGCGUAGACCCAGCCCGCUCCUCCUUGGUGCAAGAUCCCUGCCUGCCUCAGUCUUGCCCUUGGCAGCUGCCACCUAACCCCACCCCACCUUGUCUAGUGCCGAAAUCCACAGCCCAGCCCUCAGUCCUCUUCCCAUUAGUUUCUUCCUUAGGCUUCUAUAAACUCAGUGGCCCAAGAUUGCAAAAAUCUGACAUACUUUGCAAAAAUAAGAGGGUAGCAAAUUUAGGCUCUCUUCUAAAUCACUUGUGUAAUAUGAGUGCCUUUGCAGCUUCUCCCCAAAGUGCUACUUACGUUUCCCAAGGUUUUUUCUAUUUGAAUUAUGUUUCGUUUCAGGCCUCUUUUUUGGACAUGUGGCAACAGAAACCUCCUUUGUCUAGAGUGAUUCUCCUCUUCUAAGCCCAGAGAGACCAGACCAGGUGAAUGUAGGUGGAAAAGAUCAAGAUGGUACCUCUCUGUAUUAACCCCGACUGACACCAUGUUUUGAAAGGGUUUACGAUCCAGGAUGGAUUCAUAUUUAGAAUGUAAUGCGAAAGGUAAACUGUUUAGAGGGCAGAUGCAAUUGUGGCAAGUGACCUGCCAAUAAAGUAGGUGCAGCCAUAGAAGCUGGCAUAGGCUUACCCUUUAUGGUGCUUUCUCCCUGUGAACAUAUCAGGCUCGUGUUGUUUUUUUCUUUUUUCUUUUCUGUUCAGAGCUGUUUGCUUUAAGAAGUUAAGUGAAAACACCUUCAGCUUUAUAAUGUCCUCUGUACACCACCUUACAUACCCAUCUCGCAGCCUCCAGCUACACUCACCUAAGGGCAUGAGAUUAACCUAGUGCCUGUGUUCUAGACCAUUUCUGAGGUCUCUUAGCCACCCAAGGAGACAGGGCUUCGACACUGUCCUCCAUGCCUUCAGCAACCCCUGUCACAGCUAAGGUACACACCUAUCCCUUUGGCUACUCCACUUCCACCCCUGGCACAGAGGUCGUGUGCUGCUUAUGUCUAAAGGGAUCCCCUAUAUUUAACUGCCUCAAUGACCUAACCUCUUUCUUCUCAUGUGCCAGAUGUUAAGAUGAAGGAGGAAUACAACACAUACACAAGCCUCAGCUGUUUAAAUAUGUUUUUACCGGGGCUCAGUUUUCUCAGAUGGUAUUUAUUACCAGUGGCAAGCCUAACUCCUUAGGUUUACAGGAAGUAUGCAUAUUUUUAUAAAACAAUUGUAUGUCCUCCCCAUAUUUUGCUGUAUUAAUAUUUGCCUCUAACUAACAAUUUGCAGCUGUUUCACCUUUUCCUCAUUUGUCUCUUAGUCAAAGGCCUUGUUGGAGGGGACAGAGCACAGGAACAGCCUUGAUAGUCUGUAAUUAUUGUACAAAUAUUUUAAUAGCAUAUAAAUAAGUAUAUUCCUUUUAUUUUGAAAAAAUCAGACACUGCCUUUUGUGUGUUUGCUGCCUGUGGCACCCUUUUUUAAAAGACUGUUACAUAUUAAAAUAGUGUACAUAUAUAUAAAUAUUACCUCUUUUGCUGUACAGUUGUGAUAGACCAGACGGAAGAUUUUAUUUUUUGUGUGCUUUUUAUAAAAAAAAAAAUUAACACACUAAAGAAAAUCUUGCUGAUGUGAUUGUAAUGUACCUAUGUAACUUAUUUACUUUUGAAUGUUCUUCUGUAUCUUUAAACCUUUUAUUAAAUAAGGUUUU
ensembl:lncRNA